CCAGUAAACAAGGGUAAGGUUUGUUAUGCAGGUUUAAGCCGGUGCCUUCUCCACUGAUACACAGUUUCUGGAGAUUUCGAGCCUUCUUUCCCUUCCUCCAGGAAGACAUCCUUACAAAUGGAGACUUCUCUUACAAAUGUGCUGCUAAGGUGACCAGCUGUCCCAGUGUACCUGGAUCUGUUGUGGGUUUAGCACCGAAGGUCCCAUGUCCUGGGAAUCCCUCCAGCCCAGACAAGCGCAGACGCCUUAGGGUUUGGUCCUACGCUGUGUGUAGCAAAGGAACAGUCUCUAAGGAUGGAACGAUAACGAGAAGAAGACGGUUCUAUAAGAUGUAGCGAAGUGCUCUACACGUAACCCUCACAACGACCCUAGGAGCAGGUGGCAAAACUCCAACCCUAGUCGAAUCCACCUUGUGGCUUUCCCAGUCCUCGUUCCUGAUGGCCUGAAUGUCACUGGAGGAAAGUCCGGAAUCUGGAUGACUGGUUCACUUUAAAGGUCAUAACUGCAAGCUGAAAACAGGCAGGCAGCACCGCACGGCAAAAAGAAAGAAAGAAAGGGAGGAAGAAAGACAUACAUCAUCUCAGAUCUUGACCAGACCUGCUGAAACAGAAUCCACCUUUUAAUAGGAUACACCAGAAUAAGAAGCCUCCGAGAUGAAGGCAAAGCUGGGCAGCUAUCCAACGAUGCCACGAAGGAUCUAGAAUUUUAUCUUUCUUCUCCACCAUCUUCAACUAUGAAAUUCACCCUCAUAGUGGCAAGGUGGCUUCCAUAGCUCUAAUAAUAAUAAUGCCUGCAACUCAAGUGGGAACCAAGGGAAAGGGCAAAGAGAAACAUUCCAGAUGAGUCUGGCUCUGUUAAGUCUUUCCAGAAGCUCUACAAAACUCUCCACAUAGAGACUAUUAGCCAGAACUGUGUCCCGUGGCCAUCUUCACAGCGGGGGAGGCCAGGUGACUGUGCAUCUUAACUGGGAGCAUUGUUACCCAGAA